UAGGGAAUAUUGGUUAAUGUGCGAAAGCGCGAACCAGCAACGCCGCGUGUGCGAUGAAGGCCUUCGGGUCGUAAAGCACUUUUUGCAGGGACGAGGAAGGACGGUACCUGCAGAAUAAGUCUCGGCUAACUACGUGCCAGCAGCCGCGGUAAAACGUAGGAGACGAGCGUUAUCCGGAUUUACUGGGCGUAAAGCGCGUGCAGGCGGCAUGGCAAGUUGGAUGUGAAAGCUCCCGGCUUAACUGGGAGAGGUCGUUCAAUACUGCCAGGCUUGAGAGUGGUAGAGGCAAGCGGAAUUCCGGGUGUAGUGGUGAAAUGCGUAGAUAUCCGGAGGAACACCAGUGGCGAAAGCGGCUUCCUGGCCCAUUUCUGACGCUCAGACGCGAAAGCUAGGGUAGC
rnacentral:rRNA from 1 species